UUAAAGUUAAAAGUCAUUUAAAUGUUUCUUUUGGAGCUGCUUUGACUGCUACGGUAGUGGGUGUUUCCUAGUCUUUUUCUGUUUAAACCUGGAAUUUUCAGUACUCUCAUUGUCCACAUCAAUGCUACAAGAUUUAGGUGAGGGGGUAGCAAGGUAGGGGGGACUCCUAUAUGCUAAACAUUAUCCUUGGUGCUGCAGUAAAUACAAAACAAAGUUAUGCCGUAGGUUUCAGGCGGCAGCCUAAUGUCAUGGGAAGGACAAGGGUAUGGAUUUAGUCAGGGUACAAUAGGCUAUGCUGCAGUAACAAAUAAAUUGUGAAAUUUCAGUGGCUUAACACGAUCCAUAUUUGUUUCUUACUCCUCUUUCAGUUGUGAUGCAGCUCUGGUGGCCAUUCUCCAUCUGAUAGGGCUGUCGUCUGGAACUUACGUCCUUCAAGGUUGCCAUGGGCAGGGAACGGAGGACAGGGACCCUGUGGAUGCUUUUAAAGACCAGGCCUAGAAUUUCCCUACGAUCCCUCUGCAACAUUGUGCAGGCCCAAGUUCAAUCGCAUGGCAGGAACCAAAUUUCAAGGUCAACGGAGGCUGGGAGCCUAGUCUCCUGUGUGUCCAAGAGUAGGAAAUGGAGUGGUGAGGAUUAGAGAGUCGUGCAAAGGUGGAAUUCAAGGCAGGAGCAGGAUGGAUCAGUGAAAAGUGCACGUAGGAGAGAAUGAAGAAGCAGAAUGGAGAUUACUCAUAUGUGGUUGGUCCUGUCUUCAACCUUAGUGACCCUGUCCAAGAAAAGUUGAACAGAAAAAGAGUAUCAAGAAAAAAUUGGAAAUUGUCACGAUCCCACUAUCCAAAGAAAACAACUGCUAACCUUUAGGUAUAUUUCUGUGGGUUUUGUUAUUCUUGUUAUUUUUUUCUGUGUUCAUGUGUAUUUAGAAUUUUCAUUCUAUUGCUCACUGUAUGACUGUAAUCAAGUUACUUAACUUCUCUUGAAUCUCACCUUCUCUUCUGAAAAAUAAAUAUAAAAAUCGUACCCUCCUCAUAGAGUUGUUAAGAGAAUUAAAUAAGGUGAAGCAAGUACAGUGUUUAGUAUAAGCCAGACACAAAGUAAACAGUCAGUAAAUGUUACCUUUCUCCUCCUCCUCUUUCUUCUUCUCCUCCUUCUUCCUCCAUCUUGAGCAUGAUGUAGCCUUUCUGGGAUUGCUAACCUUAUACCUUUCAGAGUUGUGAGGAUAAAAAGAGAUAAUGACCGUAAAUGUCAUCUUUGUAAACCACAUGGUCCCCAAAUUUAUUUCUAGUAUAUUGAAUGCCACAGAAUUACAAUAUAGAAAACCAAAUGUUUCCUCUUUUAAAAAAUAUUUUGCAAUCACCACCCUGUUCACAAACA